rnacentral:lncRNA from 1 species
UUGUCAAGCUUCCACUGCCUGUACCGACCACAAUCUCUAAACUCAGAUCUAGUUUGUUCAUCAUCUUCAUCUCCCUUCUCUCUAGCUUCAACCAACCUUCACCGCCACCUGUGACCGCCACCACUGACCACUAUCUUCACCGCACUACCACCUGUACUGUCACCAUCUCUAAAUCAGAUCUGAUUCGUUAAUUGCAGAUCUAAAAACACAGGUUCAUCAACGACCACCAUCUUCAUCGGCCUGAUUCGUUAAUUGCAGAUCUAAAAAACACAGGUUCAUCAACGACCACCAUCUUCAUCGGCGACCCUACACCACCUUGAUCCUAAGUCGGCGACCCCACUCUUCUGCUGUAAUGACUGCAUCACCUUGAAUUUCCGAGUCUCCGACUAAGACAAAUUCAGUGGGAUCCUCAAUGCCCCGCCAUCGUCCAGCCAGACUUCAUCGGAGAAAACCCAUAUUCGCCACAUGAAAUGCUGAUGGAUUGUGGUGGUGACAGAGAAGAGAAGGGGAAAUGAUUUAGGUCUGGGUUCUUUAUUUUGGGGAAAAAAUUAGAGAGGGUAGUGGAAAAGACAGAUUUACCCUCAUGUGAUAUGCACAUGAUCCUAUUUAACCAAAAGAAUUAACUGGGUUAGGUUUAAAGGACAUACCGUGCAAGAUUUUGAAACAUUAAGUACAAAACUCGUCAAUUUUAAAGGCAAAGGACACCGCCUGCAAUUUGGUGUAAACAUAAAGGACAAAACUUGUAAUUUACUCUAAAUAAAUUAACAUGAUU